rnacentral:rRNA from 1 species
UACGUAGGAUCCAAGCGUUGUCCGGCUUUACUGGGUGUAAAGGGUGCGCAGGCGGCCUUGUAAGUCAGGGGUGAAAUCUCACAGCUUAACUGUGAAACUGCCUUUGAUACUGCAAGUCUUGGAUCCAGAAGAGAGUUGUGGAAUUCCGAGUGUAGCAGUGAAAUGUGUAGAUAUUCGGAAGAACACCAGUGGCGAAGGCAGCAACUUGGUCUGGUAUCGACGCUCAGGCACGAAAGCAUGGGGAUCAAACAGG